GACGAGGGGUCCAAGCGUUGUUCGGAAUCAUUGGGCGUAAAGCGGGUGUAGGUGGCUCUAUAAGUCAGGAGUGAAAGCCCUGAGCUUAACUUGGGAAGUGCUUUUGAUACUGUAGAGCUUGAAUGUGGGAGAGGAUCGUGGAAUUCCAGGUGUAGUGGUGAAAUACGUAGAUAUCUGGAGGAACACCGGUGGCGAAGGCGGCGAUCUGGCCCAACAUUGACACUGAGACCCGAAAGUGCGGGGAUCAAACAGG
rnacentral:rRNA from 1 species